rnacentral:rRNA from 1 species
AGUGAACGCUGGCGGUAGGCCUAACACAUGCAAGUCGAACGGCAGCACAGUAAGCGCUUGCUCUUACGGGUGGCGAGUGGCGGACGGGUGAGGAAUACAUCGGAAUCUACUUUUUCGUGGGGGAUAACGUAGCGAAACUUACGCUAAUACCGCAUACGACCUACGGGUGAAAGCAGGGGAUCUUCGGACCUUGCGCGAUUGAAUGAGCCGAUGUCGGAUUAGCUAGUUGGCGGGGUAAAGGCCCACCAAGGCGACGAUCCGUAGCUGGUCUGAGAGGAUGAUCAGCCACACUGGAACUGAGACACGGUCCAGACUCCUACGGGAGGCAGCAGUAGGGAAUAUUGGACAAUGGGCGCAAGCCUGAUCCAGCCAUACCGCGUGGGUGAAGAAGGCCUUCGGGUUGUAAAGCCCUUUUGUUGGGAAAGAAAAGCAGCAGGUUAAUACCCCGCUGUUCUGACGGUACCCAAAGAAUAAGCACCGGCUAACUUCGUG